rnacentral:sRNA from 1 species
AUUUAGCCCCGAUUGUCCCGAAGCCUCGGGAGGCUUUUUUUUAGCCGUAGUUUUUAUACAUCGGGAAUACAGCGAAAAGCGGGAUAAAUC